rnacentral:rRNA from 1 species
CCGAAAGGCAGGAGUGCCUGCAAGGGAGCGCGGAGACAGGUGGUGCAUGGCUGUCGUCAGCUCGUGUCGUGAGAUGUUGGGUUAAGUCCCGCAACGAGCGCGACCCUCACCUCUUGUUGCCAUCAGGUCAUGCUGGGCACUCUAGAGGAACUGCCCCGGUCAACGGGGAGGAAGGCGGGGAUGACGUCAAGUCAUCAUGCCCCUUACGUCCUGGGCUACACACGUGCUACAAUGGCCGGUACAAAGGGGUGCCACACCGCGAGGUAGAGCUAAACCCAAAAAGCCGGUCUAAGUUCGGAUUGGAGUCUGCAACUCGACUCCAUGAAGGAGGAAUCGCUAGUAAUCGCGUAUCAGCACGACGCGGUGAAUACGUUCCCGGGCCUUGUACACACCGCCCGUCACACCACGAAAGCCAG